GCAAACCCGCCGUGCCCCGGCCGCCGCCUGAGGCCGGAGCAGAAAGUAGCCGCCCACCCCCGCCCCGUUUCUUCCAAGAAAAUAAUAAUUCUGAGAGCCAGCGUUGUGAUACUUCAGCAGCACAGAAAACAAACCAUCCCGAAAACCCAUUUCCCAGCCAGUGGAAACCAGUACCCAACAUGGGACUCCCUUAGGAAGCACGGCAGUGGGACAGCCUUGAUAGCUGGGUAUAGAAAUCCCUCCUCUGAAAGCCAGAAGGCAGGAUCUCAGUGGUUCACACUGAGCCCUGGCUGAUGGGAUGUAACGAGCGCCUCCAUCACCCAGCUUGCAUCACAGGUAGACAGAUUGCUCUGGAGAACCAAGGAGCAGCAGAAGAGGCAGCUUGGCCAGCUAUGGACUUGAGGAAAGAUGAUGAACCUCUGGAAACUGCCCUAGACAACCAGUACAUGCACUUAGAUGAGACUGCUAGUUUAGCAGCUCUUCUGCUAUAAAACAGGCCUUGUCAGAAGGCCAUGAGUCAAUCUUUGCUGCUAACGAAUAAUGAAAUCAAAAUGGGAGCCAGAUCAUUAAAAAAAUAGUUUGGAAUGAAUGUGUGUAGGUAUAGGUUACCUCCUAUGAUUCAUAACAUAACACAUUGUUCAGUCAAUAGGUGGAGAUUUUGAUAUUUUACUGUACAUUUUAAAGUUAUUUUUAAGAUGGGAUUAAGUCAUACAGUUUGGAUCUAAAUUAGUGCUUUUGACCACUAAUCCAGAGUUACUCUGAGGUGGGAACAUCCAGAUCUGCGUCUGGAUUUAAAAAAUGCUAAAAAAAAUCAAGUUAUUAAUUCUCUUGUUUUUAUUGUCCUGAAGAACAGAGUAUCAAAGCAAAGCACAAUCAUGCAUUUUUCUUGGGUGUUCUCCAAGCAGCUGUGCCAAAGUCCUCAUGGGAAACAGUAAUGUUGAUUUCCUCAGCACUCCGUUCCGCAUUGGCCUGUCUGUUAAUUUAAUGAACAAUUUCACAGCUAUUUGUAAUUCCGGUGAGUUCCCUGCACAUGGCUUUAUGAUUUCCUCAUUGCUGAUGUUUCCAAAAAGUCAAGGUGAUCGAGGGCUUGUUUUGUCCCUUGCACCCAAGUUUUCAUGGAUCACACACUUGAGGUCUUCUCGAUUCAGAACCUGGCUCUUAUACUUCUCGCCCCAGUCCUCAACGAUGUACUGAUGAUAUGGGUCAUUGGAGUGCUCUCGCCUCUUUGAUUUCACAGUACUCACCAAGAUCGCCACAAUAAUGAAGGAGAACAUCCCAAUCAUUACCAUCAAAUAAAGGAUAACAUAGUCCAAGUUUUCAGCAUUAACCUUGGCUUGCAAUUUAUCUGCCGCUUCCGUAAUGUUUUUCCUCCAGCCAUUCAUAGGAGGGUGUGACUGGAUUGCAGCCUGCUAG